rnacentral:rRNA from 1 species
GGGUACACGAGUGGCGAACGGGUGAGUAACGCGUGAGUAACCUGCCCUUCACUCUGGGAUAACAGUUGGAAACGGCUGCUAAUACCGGAUAUUCAGCUCCUGUCGCAUGGUGGGGGUUGGAAAGUUUUGGUGGUGGAGGAUGGGCUCGCGUCCUAUCAGCUUGUUGGUGGGGUGAUGGCCUACCAAGGCGUCGACGGGUAGCCGGCCUGAGAGGGCGACCGGCCACAUUGGGACUGAGAUACGGCCCAAACUCCUACGGGAGGCAGCAGUGGGGAAUAUUGCACAAUGGGCGGAAGCCUGAUGCAGCAACGCCGCGUGCGGGAUGACGGCCUUCGGGUUGUAAACCGCUUUCAGCAGGGACAGAAGCGUGAGUGACGGUACCUGCAGAAGAAGCACCGGCUAAACUACGUGCCAGCAGCCGCGGUGAUACGUAGGGUGCGAGCGUUGUCCGGAUUUAUUGGGCGUAAAGAGCUUGUAGGCGGUUGGUUGCGUCGAAAGUGCAAACUCAGGGCUUAACUCUGAGCCUGCUUUCGAUACGGGCUGACUGGAGGAAGGUAGGGGAGAAUGGAAUUCCCGGUGGAGCGGUGGAAUGCGCAGAUAUCGGGAGGAACACCAGUGGCGAAGGCGGUUCUCUGGACCUUUCCUGACGCUGAGAAGCGAAAGCGUUGGGAGCAAACAGGCUUAGAUAUCCUGGUAGUCCACGCUGUAAACGGUGGGUACUAGGUGUGGGGGACAUUCCACGUUCUCUGUGCCGUAGC